UGGGGAAUCUUGCGCAAUGGCCUAACGGCUGACGCAGCGACGCCGCGUGCGGGAGGAAGGUCUUCGGAUCGUAAACCGCUGUCAGGAGGGACGAACUGGUGGGGGAGGCAAUGCCUUCACCUUGACGGUACCUCCAGCGGAAGCACCGGCUAACUCCGUGCCAGCAGCCGCGGUAAUACGGAGGGUGCGAGCGUUGUUCGGAGUCAUUGGGCGUAAAGCGCGCGCAGGCGGUCUGGGAAGUCUAUGGGUGAAAUGCCGGGGCUCAACUCCGUGCAUGCCCAGGAUACUCUCAGGCUAGAGACAUGUAGAGGCUGGCGGAAUUCCGGGUGUAGCGGUGGAAUGCGUAGAGAUCCGGAAGAACACCAGAGGCGAAGGCGGCCAGCUGGGCAUGAUCUGACGCUGAGGCGCGAAAGCGUGGGGAGCGA
rnacentral:rRNA from 1 species